CUGAGAAGUCAUAAUAUCAUUAAAUACAAUAUCCACACCAGAGGAUGCUGUUCCUGUCUAGGACACCUCCUUGUUUUACAGGUAAGGACUAAAGGCCCAGAGAGGGUAGAAGGCUUGCCUAAGUCACACAGCUGCUUAGAAUUUGGACUUAGAUCUCCAUCUCUGUCUGGUGUGAUCAACCUCAAGACCACCUUCUGGGACACACCCAAAGGGAGAACUCUGUCUCCAGAAAGAAUGAAGGGAUCAAGUCACCAUCAGGGAGAGAGCAGAGAGCUUUGUUGGGCUCCCUGGCCUUCCUGGCUCUCAGUUUUUGUCACAGCCAGUAGUGACACUGACACAGACCCACCUUUCCCUCCUGAGCCAGGCAGCUGGAUUCUCUCAUAUUUUUCUCUGCUUUAUCCUCAAGGAUUCUCUACAAUAUUCAUAAGCAGGAAUAUCCAGUCUUCAUUCAGAUCUAUUUCCUUACUGGUCCUGAUCCAGACACCGGUCAAAGGCAACCCAGGACGGUGGCGGAUAGAACGCUGUGAGCAUUUUCCUCUUGCUGAGCUGAGUCUGCUGCCAUAGUUUAGAUGCUUGCUCACUUCGUGGACUUUCUCUUUCUGGAUUCCAACCAAAUGGUCUUAUUAAAUGUUUGGGGGGAAAAAAUUCUUGCUCUUGUGAGUGAUAUCAAAUACUAUCAAUAAAACUGAAGGAAAAGGGAGCCCAAGGCACCCGCAAGACUUUUAAGAUUUAAUUGUUCCGCAGAAUUUUAAGCAAGUAGUAGAAGGGAACUAAAUUGCACGAAACCAAAUAUUUUGCUCGAGGCUCCCAAUUCAUCUCACUUGCCGGUUCCCAGGGGCUAGUGCCAGCGCCGUGGAGCUUGGGACUUUCC
rnacentral:lncRNA from 9 species